AUAAAUGCAGUGAACGGAAAGAGUAGUAUACAUGCGUGAAUAAAAGAGAGAGACGGUCAUCGGCUGAAAGCAGUCUUGAUUCCAAAGUAUAUGAAGUGCAUCCGGAAGCAGUCCCGGUGAAAGCAAGUAGCCAGGAACGAAUAGCACACGUUACGUGUAUUGAGGGAAAGCAGCAAUGCUUUACUUAGAGUGGAACCGCGGAAUAACUUCGUCUCUAUA
rnacentral:ncRNA from 1 species